AAAUGAUAAAUUUGUCUAUUAGUAAAAUAAUAGAUCGAUACUGCCAUUCUAAUACGUCGCAUCCCACAUUUAGAAAAUUUUACAGCAGACGGU